AGAGAUGGGCGGAGCUUAUACCGACUCCAAACAAUUUUGUUGAUAAUGGUAAAUGCCCAUAAGCAACUUUUUAUUUAGUGUUUUCGUGGCUUAUGUGAUAAAAUAAGACUUUUCAGUUGAAUAUAUUGUUGAAGGAACGGACUAUUUAAGAGGUUUUCAUUAGUUUUUCCCCAGGUUUUUAAGAUCUAGGACUGCUUCAGAAUGGGUAUGUGCUUUGUUCCAGACUGUAAACAUUACAGUUCAAAGCAUCCAUGUAAGUUUUUUUCGGUUCUCAACAAACAAGACCGAGCGGAAUAGAUGGAUUUCUCUCAUCAGCAACUACAACAUUAUAAUAACGUGGAUAUAUGUUCUACAUGAAGUCCUUUUCAAUAAUUUGAUGAAAACUAUAUAAUUUAAAAAAUUGUAGGAUAAUUUUGGAUUGCACCAAAAUUUAUUCAGCAGUUCCAGCAAACAUGGAAAAUCAGAGAUUGACAUACAGUUCAUACAAACACUGAAACACAUGGAAAAUGUUGGUAGGUGUUGCACUAAACGGUGUAAUCAGGCUUAUCCAGGGUAGACAUAUGAUAAAAAAACAACAACACCACAGCUUACAGAAUCCCAAGUAUAUGAAACUCAGCAAAUUGCAAAGGCUAGAAUUCAUGUGGAAUGGACCAUCAGGAGAAUAAAGUGUUAUAAUAUUUUGCAGCAAGUUCAAUCAUAUAUAUCACAAAUUUCAAUUAUCUUUCAAUAGUGUGUAGCCCUCCCAAACUUGCAAUAUCCCCCAAUUAAAGAAGUUGAGGAGUAUUAAUGGUAGGAUCUAUACUGUAGGUUAUGCCGUUUAACGUGAACUGAAUUGAUUAACCGUACGGAGUUGAGCCAAAGUACGACAUAUUAUAAUUUUGAGUUUUAAAUAUUUUUUAUUGUAGCAAUAUAUUUCCUUAUUCCUUAUAUUACUUCCUUAUUUUUUUUGUAAAAAGUUUAGAAAUUUUUAUUUAAAAAAUGUAUAUUUAGAUUUUACUUAAUUUAUAAAUGACCUGAUCUAAUACAAUUAUUGUUAAAAGUAAUAAUAAUACUGUUUUUCUAAUUUGAUUAAAACCUGUAAAUCCAACCACAAUAAAACAUAAAGUAAACAAAUA